CGCGCGUCCACGUUCUUUAAAUACCACCUUCCCUGCCGCUCCGGGGUGAGGAUUGGGGCGGAGCGUGUGUGUUGUGGGGUCCGCGGCCGGGAGGGCGCCGCCGGAGAGCGCGAGUACGUGCUGGAGGGAUCCUGCCUAUCUUGAAGCCUUUGCUGCCAGGCAACAGAAUUGUGUGCUACAGAAAUCUAGGAAGAUGAGCUCCUGUAUAUCCAUGAGUGAACCAAAGCUAAACUGGGACAUUUCCCCCAAAAAUGGCCUGAAAACAUUUUUCUCUCGAGAAAACUAUAAAGAACAUUCCAUGGCUCCAACUUUAAAAGAAUUAUGUAUUUUGUCUAACAGACAUAGAGGGGAAAAUUUGAAUGCCUCAGCAAGUUCUGUAGAAAACGAGCCAGCAGUUAGUUCAGCAUCUCAAGCAAAGGAAAAUGUUAAAACCAGAGUUGGAAUGGUUCUUCUUCCAAAACCAAGAGUGCCUUAUCCUCGUUUCUCUCGUUUCUCACAGAGAGAGCAGAGGAGUUAUGUGGACUUGUUGGUUAAAUAUGCAAAGAUUCCUGCAAAUUCCAAAGCUGUUGGAAUAAAUAAAAAUGAAUACUUACAGUACUUGGAUAUGAAAAAACAUGUGAAUGAAGAAGUUUCUGAAUUCCUAAAGUUUUUGCAAAAUUCUGCAAAGAAAUGUGCACAGGAUUAUAAUAUGCUGUCUUACGAUGCCCAUCUCCUCACAGAGCAAAUUUUAAAAGCUUGUGUUGAACAAGUGAAAAAGUAUCCAGAAUUUUAUACUCUUCAUGAAGUCACCAGCUUAAUGGGGUUCUUUCCAUUCAGAACAGAGGAAGGAUUAAAAUUAGAAAAAACGCUUCUUGCACUGGGCAGUGUACAAUUUGUGAAAACAGUAUUCCCCUCGAUGCCUGCAGUAUUGAAGCUCUCAAAAAGUAACAUGCCCCCUUUGGAGACCCCAGGACAAAUGGCUCAAGCUAUGCACUAUGAUAUUAAUAAAGAUCCAAAUGCAGAGAAGCUUGUUUCAAGAUACCAUCCUCAGAUAGCUCUGACCAGCCAGUCACUAUUUACCCUAUUAAAUAAUCAUGGACCAGACUACAAGGAACAAUGGGAAAUUCCAGUCUGUGUUGAAGUUAUACCUGUCGCAGGCUCCAAACCAAUUAAAGUAAUUUAUAUUAAUUCCCCACUUCCUCAGAAGAAACUGACAAUGAGAGACAGAAAUCAACUCUUCCAUGAAAUUCCAUUAAAAUGUAUGAUGUCCAAAAAUACAUCUGUUCCAGUUUCUGCAGUAUUUAUGGACAGACCCGAAGAGUACACAUCUGAAAUGGACACAUCCAGUGAAGUUAAUGAGUACCGAAAAAUUGAGACUCUUGAAAAUUUGGAUCUGGAUUUUGAUGAUGAUGUCACAGAACUUGAAACUUUUGGAGUAACCGCUACAGAACCAUCGAAGUCACCCAGCCCAUCAAGUACUUGCCCAUUACCCAUCGUGACACAUACACUCCCAGCCCCCAAGGUAGCUGCUACCCCUGUGGCACCACCUCUAGGAGAUCCCUCUGCUGAUUCCAGAAGCUUAUCUCGGAUUCUGAUGGAACAGUUACAGAAGGAGAAACAGCUGGUCAUCAGUAUGGAAAGUGGCCCUGAAGAGUGCAGAAAUAAAGAUGAUCAGGGACUUGGACCACAUAGUGAAAAAGUAUCCAGUUCCAACAAGUCUGUGAUGCAGGAUAAUGACUUAAAGACAUCUGAUGCCUUACAGUUGGAAGGUUCUAAGGAAAUUCACAAAUCUGAUGCAAAUGAUGUGGCUACCGAUGUGUUAUGUGCUGAUGAGGAACGGCUGAAUGUCCUAGAGAACAGAGACAGUUCCAAGGAAAAGCCUGCCGCACCAGAAACAGCUGGAACUGAAAGCGUAAUUCCUUGCGGUAGUGACACGGAUGAGGAUUGUUUAAUCAUUGAUACAGAGUGUAAAAACAAUAGUGAUGGAAAGACAGCUGUUUUGGCUUCUGAUUUAAGUUCUAGACCAGCGAGUCCAAAUUCUUCCUCAGGGAAGGGUUCCAUAGGAAGCCAGAGUAGUACUACUCACAAUCCUGAAGAAUUGUGUGUUUUAAAAAAACCUAUCAAACGAGUAUAUACAAAAUUUGAUCCAGUUGGACAAAUUUUAAAAAUGCAGACUGAACUCUUAAAGCCAAUUUCCAGAAAAGAACCUGAAUUGCUCUUAAUGAAUUUAGAAAAUGCUAAGCAGCCACCUGUUUCCGAGCAACCUCCUGCUCCUCUGCAUGCUGCUCGUUGGCCAAAAUCUGGGUGGCCUUCUGCAUUUCAGAAGCCAAAAGGACGAUUGCCAUAUGAACUUCAAGACUAUGUUGAAGAUACAUCAGAAUAUCUAGCUCCUAAAGAAGGAAAUUUUGUCUAUAAGUUGUUCAGCCUGCAAGACCUGUUGUUACUCGUGCGUUGCAGUGUCCAGAGGAUCGAGACAAGACCACGUUCUAAAAAACGGAAGAAAAUCAGAAGACAAUUUCCGGUGUAUGUUCUACCUAAAGUGGAAUAUCAAGCUUGUUACGGAGUGGAAGCUUUGACUGAAAGUGAACUUUGUCGCUUAUGGACUGAAAGUUUAUUGCACUCAAACUGCUCUUUUUAUGUUGGACAUAUUGAUGCAUUUACUUCAAAGCUUUUCCUGCUAGAAGAAAUUACUUCUGAAGAAUUAAAAGAAAAGCUUUCAGCACUCAGGAUUUCAAGUUUAAUCAACGUCCUCCAACACAUUCUGAAAAAAUUAAGUAGCUUGCAGGAGGGGUCCUACCUGUUGUCUCAUGCAGCAGAAGAUUCUUCACUCCUGAUCUACAAGACCUCGGAUGGAAAAGUUACGAGGACAUCGUACAAUCUGCACAAAACACACUGCGACCUCCCCGCUGUGCCUUCCAGUCUCUCAGUCCCCUGGGUCCCCUUGGACCCCAGUCUCCUGCUCCCGUAUCACAUCCAUCAUGGACGGAUACCUUGUACUUUUCCACCGAAAUCUGUGAGUCCUACACUGGCACAAAAGGCUGCUGGAACAAGAAUGCCUACCCGAGGCUGCAGGAAUCCGGUUUCCGUGGAAACCAGAAGCAGUUGUUUGCCUGCUCAGCAAGCUGAAAAUGAAGGAGUGGCUUCAAAUAAAAGAAAAAUAACUUAAGGGCUGUGACAUGGAAAAUGAAAUUUCACAAAAACCAGGUGGAACAGUUGUUUAAUUUUUAAAGUUUUGAGGGGAAGCAUGCCCAGAAGAACGGUUGGCGAGAGGAGCAUUUUUCUUUUUGGUUCCUUUUUGAGUUCAGAGUGCCUUAAAAAAAUGUGUCUGCUGAGAGGAGCACUCACUCACCCGGGUGGUGGGCUCUUCACCUGAAGUCUGAGGAGGAGCUGGGGUGGUUUCACUUUAUCAUGGCAGGGAAAUGAAGAAGAGAAGUAUUUUUAUAGUAAAUUUUCCCUAAAAAUUGUAAGUAGGAAAAUAACUUGUUUUUUUAAAGGAAUAUUUAUCAUUAUGUAUUAUGUCAGUAAUUUGAGUUGUAUCAUAUUCUGUAGAUCAAAAUGUGAAACAGGGCCACUGCCAGCAGUGAUUCUGUGUGUGGUAAACCAUGUCGCUGAGUGUGAGUGUUUUACACUACUGUAAAACAAUGAUGAUUGCACAUUCAUAAAGGUAAUACCCUAAAAACCUUUGAAAUUACAUUUCAAUCAUCAAAAGUAAAAACAAAAUACUUCCUUCCUCUGAAAAGUCACAAAUUAAUAUGUUCAUGUUGGGCAACCUUCCGUUUGUCAGGGAAAAACGUUUGCCGUCGGACAGGUUUGGCAUAGAUCCCUGCCGAGUGUCCCAAUGCCCUGUCACAGAGGCAAGGGUAUCUGAAGAAGUCACCUACUUUUCCAACCAGUGAAGCUGGUGUCGUAGAAAGUAUGAGCUGUAUUUGUCCUUGUCCGUUAAACCAGGUUUUCCAGGGCCAUGGGUUCCACUAACGUUACUGUAGCUCAUUUGGACUCAGGGCACAGACCUGUUUAAUUUUGGUAACCCCAUUUCACGUACACUAAAGCGAUUAGAAAUAUGUGUGUCAGUUGUAAAAUACAAAUUCCAAGGCAAUUUCUGUGUUGUCUUGGGAAUUUUUUCAUGGGCUCUGUGUUAACGUAAGAAAUAAGGCCUAAAAAAAAAUUUCUCAGAUAUAAGUAACCGUUGAAAAUUUUAAUCUGUACCUAUUGAGUUUUGUUUUGAGUUUUUUAGUUGAUUAGAAAAUAUGAAUAAUUAUUAGUACAUAAAGUUUUAUGUAUGUUAAUAUUUCCUUAUCCUGCCAUUCUCAUUUUAGAAUUUUUUUUUUUUUGAACAUUAUCUCCUCCACAUGUCCCAGGAAUGUUUUAGUGGUGAAUCAUUGGCAGCAAGCCACGCACGAGAAGGCAGGGGCUUCCAAGGAAUUGGGCAGUGACUACUUCAGGCUUCUGAGCGCCGAAGAAUACCGUUUGUUUUUUAAGUUCGUUUUCUUUUUUCACCAUUAAUUUUUACACAUCGACAUGUGUGGUCUUGUAAGACAUUAUUUUUACAUUAUCUAAGUUAUACAUUUAAAUAACCCUAACAAUGCGUAUAUCUAGUCUCUCUCUACUUGGGCUUCAUUAAGCCUCUGUUUACAACAUAUAUUUAAUCAUGCCCUAUAUUCUUUUUUUGAUUUUUAGCAUAGAGAACUUAUAAGCAAAAGUAUGGCAUUGACAAUAUUAGCAAAGAUGUUUUAAAAAUAAAAUCAGAGAUGAGCCCACCACGUACACCUCAGUGGUGAAAGUCUAAUUUACAUUAACAUCCUGGAAAGCAGUCUAAUUCAGGAAGUGUCUGAGUAGCCAGGCACUUUGCAAUCUGAAGUAGGUCCUCACUUGUCAGUGUCUCGUAACAUUGUUUUUUCCGACCCCAGAUACUUGUUUAUUUUAUUUCUUUCGUGAAUAGACAGUAAACUCUGGGAGGACAGGUGUAUGUCUGUUUUGCCCGCUAUUCAGUAAUACACACCUAACGUAGUACCUGGCGAGUACCUGCUCCAUAGGCACACCUUGUAUGUAUGAGUAAAUGAGUAUGUUGCUAUGGAAGAUAGAUAUUUUUUCCCUUACAAGCUCACAUUCUACUGGAAGAUACUGCACUGAUCUGUGUGGUAGGUGCUCUGAUAAAGUAAUAGAAGAAAGUCAAGCUGCUUAGAAGGCUGGGGCAGGAAGGGCAUACAUUGAAGGGCAGCCUGGACUACUUAAUGACAUUCCGCCUUUA